CAUUACGGCGCGGAAUCAAUCAGAACUACAAAUUCUAAGACAUGGUGUUUGUUUUCCUCACUGUGAAACAAGACUGCAUUACAGGAACGUAACUUUAAAAGGUAUUAAUGAAGAUGGCGACACAACCCCUGAAGUUUCGCAAAUUCACCAAAAGGUCACCGUGGACUCCUUGAGUCUGUUUAGCUGAUUGGAGAGCUAGCGUCCGCAGCUAAAGGGUCCAUGGCGAUGACUUCUGUUUUGUUUGAUCAGCUGUUUUACUGCCGUGUUACAGACACCGUUUGGAAUCAGUUAAGCAUGCCGGCCGUCACCAUGCCGACCCCUGCCAGCACAUACGUAGGCAUCACCUGAAGGCAGAUGAUUCUGGAGGAUUCUCUGAACUUCUCCUCAAGCAGCAUCAUUACUGGAGUUUAUCGCUGCCGUGUUGCGAUGACCGGCGUGUCGACUUUAUGUGCUGCCAACUGAAAGUCCAAAGCUGUUUGCAGAUCAGCGCUGUCCCUCUACAUUGACUCUUCUGUGACGAGUAGCUCUUUAGUGUUUGCAGAUCAGCUAUGUCCCUCUACAUUGACUCUUCUGUGACGAGUAGCUCUUUAGUGUUUGCAGAUCAGCUAUGUCCCUCUACAUUGACUCUUCUGUGACGAGUAGCUCUUUAGUGUUUGCAGAUCAGCGCUGUCCCUCUACAUUGACUCUUCUGUGACGAGUAGCUCUUUAGUGUUUGCAGAUCAGCUAUGUCCCUCUACAUUGACUCUUCUGUGACGAGUAGCUCUUUAGUGUUUGCAGAUCAGCUAUGUCCCUCUACAUUGACUCUUCUGUGACGAGUAGCUCUUUAGUGUUUGCAGAUCAGCGCUGUCCCUCUACAUUGACUCUUCUGUGACGAGUAGCUCUUUAGUGUUUGCAGAUCAGCUAUGUCCCUCUACAUUGACUCUUCUGUGACGAGUAGCUCUUUAGUGUUUGCAGAUCAGCUAUGUCCCGCUACAUUGACUCUUCUGUGACGAGUAGCUCUUUAGUGUUUGCAGAUCAGCGCUGUCCCUCUACAUUGACUCUUCUGUGACGAGUAGCUUUUAGUGUUAUUAUCUCCACUAUAUCAGUGGUUGCCAAACUUUUUUCACCAGCUACCACCUCAGAAAGCUCUCCAAGUGCCACCAGAAUGACCAACAUUAAAUGCAGUAGCGUAGUGGACCUAAGUAUUCAUUAAAAACAAGCCAGAGGUUGUUUUUUUUUUUUAACAAGUAUAUAUAAUAUUUUUGACCACUCUUACAUUACAAACAAUUUCAACAAUAAUACUCCAUAUGCAGUACGGUAUUUUUCGGACCAUAGGGCACAACGGAAUAAUAGGCGCACUGCCGAUGAGUGGGUCUUUACAGGUCUAUUUUCAUACAAAAAGUAUAUU